UACAGAGGUCCCAAGCGUUGUUCGGAUUCACUGGGCGUAAAGGGUGCGUAGGCGGUCGGGUAAGUCUGACGUGAAAUCUUCAAGCUCAACUUGGAAACUGCGUCCGAUACUAUUCGGCUAGAGGAAUGGAGGGGAGACUGGAAUACUUGGUGUAGCAGUGAAAUGCGUAGAUAUCAAGUGGAACACCAGUGGCGAAGGCGAGUCUCUGGACAUUUCCUGACGCUGAGACGCGAAAGCGUGGGGAGCAAACAGG
rnacentral:rRNA from 1 species